ACGGGAGAAUGCAACCAUGGAGAAGGAAAAUGCAAAUCUAGAUGACAAUGAGGAUAGUGGAAAAGCUUCUGAUGUAGUUUAUGAAUCCAGAAAUCAGAGAGUGGAAGAGCUGCACAUAGAUGAAAUUAGAGAAGAAAUCAAAGCAGCCUCUGAAACAGUACACAAGUCUCAGAGUGAUGAAACAGUUACAGGAAUUGAAGUUGCUAAUGAUCAGACCCGCCCAGAAGAGAUAACAAAAGAACAUGAGACACCAUCUCUAGCAAUUCCUUGCAAAGAAGAGGAGCGUGAAACUAAAGC
rnacentral:misc_RNA from 1 species